UUCCCAUGGUGUCUGUCCCCUCAGUGCCUGAAAGGGUAUUGAAUGAUACAGAUAUCAGGAUGGAUGAAACUUUGAAAAAGACAUUGAGAGACUGAAUGAAAGCCUAAAGCGAUCUUCAGAUGGGUGAUCAUUUGAAUGUGUUUGUGUUUGUGUGUGUGUGUGUGUGUGUGUGUGUGUGUGUAUGAAAAGGAGGAGACCACAAAGCAGUUAUUCAUGAUACAUUUUCCUUUCUAACUCUCACACGGCCUGCAGGAACCCAAUGCUGGAAGGCCACUGAAGUGUUGAAGAGUGUUGAAAAGGAAAGUGAUAGUGGCUUUAACAGAAGCUUGGAUGUCCAGGCUACAGGGAUGUUGGUGUACUACACCCUCUUCUGAGGACACCAUCCUUUUGGGAAAGGGAGUCACUGUGAGACUAACAGUCUGGAUGGGAAGAACGAUCUGGAUUUAGUGGAAGAGGAGCUGG
rnacentral:lncRNA from 1 species